CAGCCGCCGCGGUAAUACGAAGGGUGCAAGCGUUAAUCGGAAUUACUGGGCGUAAAGCGUGCGUAGGCGGUGAGUUAAGUCUGCUGUGAAAUCCCCGGGCUCAACCUGGGAAUGGCAAUGGAUACUGGCAAGCUAGAGUGUGUCAGAGGAUGGUGGAAUUCCCGGUGUAGCGGUGAAAUGCGUAGAGAUCGGGAGGAACAUCAGUGGCGAAGGCGGCCAUCUGGGACAACACUGACGCUGAGGCACGAAAGCGUGGGGAGCAAACAGGAUUAGAUACCCCUGUAGUCCCUGUCUCUUAUAU
rnacentral:rRNA from 1 species